CACGUAGUUAGCCGUGGCUUUCUUGAAGAGUACCGUCAAGUAAGACUCAUUUCCUAAUCUUACAAUUCUUUCUCAACAACAGAGUUUUACAACCCAUAGGGCCUUCAUCACUCACGCGGCAUUGCUCGUUCAGGGUUUCCCCCAUUGACGAAUAUUCCUAACUGCUGUCUCCCGUAGGAGUCUGGGCCGUGUCUCAGCCCCAGUGUGGCCGAUUAACCUCUCAGUUCGGCUACGCAUCGUCGUCUUGGUAGGCCGUUACCCCACCAACUAACUAAUACGCCGCAGGCCCAUCUCUAAGCGAAGCUUUAAAGGCUUCUUUACUCCAUAGAGCACAUUCGGUAUUACUCAACCGUUUCCAGUUGUUACUCCCCUAAACUUAGAGGUUACGGUAACCCACGUGUUACUCGACCCGUUUGCCUACGUAGGUGGAAAAUCCAAAAUCCAAUCUUUGUGCAAGCACGCAGAUUUUCAAGUGGGCCACUCGUUCGACUUGCUAUGGUCUUAGGCCAGUCGCCGACAGGUCGUUUCAC
rnacentral:rRNA from 1 species